rnacentral:rRNA from 1 species
AACGAACGCUGGCGGCAGGCCUAACACAUGCAAGUCGAACGCUCCGCAAGGGGAGUGGCGCACGGGUGAGUAACACGUGGGAACCUACCUUCUGGUACGGAACAACCAAGGGAAACUUUGGCUAAGACCGUAUACGACCUCCGGGUGAAAGAUUGAUCGCCGGAAGAGGGGCCCGCGUCCGAUUAGGUAGUUGGUGAGGUAACGGCUCACCAAGCCUUCGAUCGGUAGCUGGUCUGAGAGGAUGACCAGCCACACUGGGACUGAGACACGGCCCAGACUCCUACGGGAGGCAGCAGUGGGGAAUAUUGGACAAUGGGCGGCAAGCCUGAUCCAGCCAUGCCGCGUGAGUGAUGAAGGCCUUCGGUUGGUUAAG